UCCUGCCAAGAAGCGGUGAUAAUUUGUGGUUAGGUAUAUCCUAUCCUAUAAUGAUAUUUUUCUUUGAUUUUUUUACAACAUUUACCGUACAAUUCUCCGAGACUAUUACUUUAAUUACUAAGCUGAAGCUUGUUUUCUUCAGUUUUUCAUAGACCCACCUGCUUGUGGUGAUUAGAGCUGAGACAAAGACAAAACUGAACAUCGGAAUCUGAAGCUAGCGGGUUUAAUGUAAGUUCCAAUAAAUAAUUUUAGACAAUAGAUUGUAUUUUAGUUGAGUGAUUACUGAAUAAAUAGUUAUAUAAAAUGGUAUUGUAUUUUUUAUUCACAUUGUUUUAUUCAAAUUGUGGCUAGUAUGUCAAAACAAACCUUAAGUAAGUUUG